UACGUAGGGGGCAAGCGUUGUCCGGAAUCAUUGGGCGUAAAGCGCGUGUAGGCGGCCAGGUAAGUCCGUUCUGAAAGCCCGGGGCUCAACCCCGGGAGGCGGAUGGAUACUGCUUGGCUCGAGUCCGGAAGAGGCGAGUGGAAUUCCCGGUGUAGCGGUGAAAUGCGCAGAUAUCGGGAGGAACACCAAUGGCGAAGGCAGCUCGCUGGGACGGUACUGACGCUGAGGAGCGAAAGCAUGGGGAGCGAACAGG
rnacentral:rRNA from 1 species